GAGUUUGAUCCUGGCUCAGAUUGAACGCUGGCGGCAGGCUUAACACAUGCAAGUCGAACGGUAACAUGAGUGCUUGCACUUGAUGACGAGUGGCGGACGGGUGAGUAAUGUAUGGGGAUCUGCCGAAUGGAUUGGGACAACAGUUGGAAACGACUGCUAAUACCGAAUAAUGUUGCGAGACCAAAGGGUGCUUACGGGCACUUGCCAUUUGAUGAACCCAUAUGAGAUUAGCUAGUUGGUGGGGUAAAGGCUCACCAAGGCGACGAUCUCUAGCUGGUCUGAGAGGAUGACCAGCCACACUGGAACUGAGACACGGUCCAGACUCCUACGGGAGGCAGCAGUGGGGAAUAUUGCACAAUGGGGGAAACCCUGAUGCAGCCAUGCCGCGUGUAUGAAGAAGGCCUUAGGGUUGUAAAGUACUUUCGGUGAUGAGGAAGUUAUGUGUGGGAUAAGCGCAUAUAAUUGACGUUAGUUACAGAAGAAGCACCGGCUAACUCCGUGCCAGCAGCCGCGGUAAUACGGAGGGUGCGAGCGUUAAUCGGAAUGACUGGGCGUAAAGGGCAUGUAGGCGGAUGAUUAAGUUAGGUGUGAAAGCCUCGGGCUCAACCUGAGAAUAGCAUUUAAAACUGGUCAUCUGGAGUACUGUAGAGGGAGGUAGAAUUCCACGUGUAGCGGUGAAAUGCGUAGAGAUGUGGAGGAAUACCGGUGGCGAAGGCGGCCUUCUGGACAGAUACUGACGCCGAGAUGCGAAAGCGUGGGGAGCAAACAGGAUUAGAUACCCUGGUAGUCCACGCUGUAAACGAUGUCGAUUUGGAGUUUGUUGCCUAGAGUGAUGGGCUCCGAAGCUAACGCGAUAAAUCGACCGCCUGGGGAGUACGGCCGCAAGGUUAAAACUCAAAUGAAUUGACGGGGGCCCGCACAAGCGGUGGAGCAUGUGGUUUAAUUCGAUGCAACGCGAAGAACCUUACCUGGUCUUGACAUCCACAGAAUCUUGCAGAGAUGAGGGAGUGCCUUCGGGAACUGUGAGACAGGUGCUGCAUGGCUGUCGUCAGCUCGUGUUGUGAAAUGUUGGGUUAAGUCCCGCAACGAGCGCAACCCUUAUCCUUUGUUGCCAGCGAUUAGGUCGGGAGCUCAAGGGAGACUGCCGUUGAUAAAGCGGAGGAAGGUGGGGACGACGUCAAGUCAUCAUGGCCCUACGACCAGGGCUACACACGUGCUACAAUGGCGUAUACAAAGGGAGGCGA
rnacentral:rRNA from 1 species